CUGCGUGCUGUGUGCUGCGCGACCGAGCGGGACGGACGGGGCGCGCUUCCUGGAGCACCUGCGGGUGGUCGAUCCGGUCCCGUUCCGGUCGGAUCCGCGGCGGCGCUCCUCUCCGGCGAUGUCUCAGGUGGAUCCGAAGCGAGGCAUCCCGAUCUGCAACGCCACAGCUCUGGUCUGCUGUUGUGAUGGCCGAAGGAAGAGCAAGGAGGGGGAGGAGGGAUGGCAGAGGAGGUUAACAUCUAUAGCUUUUAUUAUGAAGCUAAGCUUCUAGACACACAUCUGAUCUGGUAGUUAUUU